CAAAACCUGACGCAUCGCAAGAGCUUGGCAGAUGUUGAAUUGAAAUCACGGAGAGAUACUGAUUAAAUUCUAGGUCGCGCCCUGCAGGGAAAACCAAGGUCAGCACACAUACCUCUUCUCUUCAGACGAUUUCUUGCUAUCUGGGGACAGGGCAUAUUCCCUGCAGCUAAGUGCUGUGUUGGAAGAGAGAGCCAAAUAAGUUCCAAGAAAGGCUCAUGGAUGUG